UUGAAUUCCAAACGUAAAGGACCUUGCUGUGCGCCUUCACCGGCUUGCACGCUUCGUCUGAUACAUUUACACCUGUGCACCUUUGACCCGCUUAGUCGGGUCCUUACACACACACUUUAAAAUCUUAGAAUGUUUUUAUUUAAAAUUAUGA
rnacentral:misc_RNA from 1 species